UACGUAGGGGGCAAGCGUUGUCCGGAAUCAUUGGGCGUAAAGAGCGUGUAGGCGGCCAGAUAAGUCCGCUGUGAAAUCUCGAGGCUCAACUUCGAGCUGUCGGUGGAAACUGUCCGGCUAGAGUCCGGAAGAGGAGAAUGGAAUUCCUGGUGUAGCGGUGAAAUGCGCAGAUAUCAGGAAGAACACCCGUGGCGAAGGCGGUUCUCUGGGACGGUACUGACGCUGAGACGCGAAAGCGUGGGGAGCGAACAGG
rnacentral:rRNA from 1 species